AGUCGCGAGUCUUAGGGACUCGGCGUACCGCUCAGUAACACGUGGGUAACCUGCCCUAUGCUGGGGGAUAACCUCGGGAAACUGAGAAUAAUACCCCAUAGUUCACCACGCCUGGAACGGUGGGUGGAUGAAAGCUCCGGCGGCAUAGGAUGGGCCUGCGGCGUAUCAGGUUGUAGGGGGUGUAAUGUACCCUCUAGCCAUCUACGCGUACGGGUGUCGGGAGACAUCGCCCGGAGAUGGAUUCUGAGACACGAAUCCAGACCCUACGGGGUGCAGCAGGCGCGAAAACUUGGCAAUGCGAGCAAUCGUGACCAGGGAACUCCAAGUGCAUCGGGUAAGACCGAUGCUUUUCUUGACUCUUCAAAGGUCUUGGAAUAAGGGGUGGGUAAGGACGGUGCCAGCCGCCGCGGUAAUACCGGCGCCUCAAGUGGUAGUCGCUUUUAUUGGGCCUAAAACGUCCGCAGCCGGUUUGGUACAUUCGUGGGUAAAUCAAGGCGCUCAACGUCUUGAAUUCUGCGAGCACGGCCAGACUUGGGACCGGGUGAGGUGUGGGGUACUCUCAGGGUAGGGGUAAAAUCCUGUCAUCCUGAGAGGACCACCUGUUGCGAAGGCGCCACACUAGAACGGAUCCGACGGUCAGGGACGAAGCCUAGGGGCACGAACCGGAUUAGAUACCCGGGUAGUCCUAGGUGUAAACGCUGUGGACUUGAUGUUGGGAGUGCUCCGAGCACCCUCAGUGCCGAAGCGAAGGUGAUAAGUCCACUGCCUGGGGAGUACGGUCGCAAGGCUGAAACUUAAAGGAAUUGGCGGGGGAGCACUGCAACCUGAGGAUUGUGCGGUUUAAUUG
rnacentral:rRNA from 1 species